UUUUUCUUAUCAGUAUUCCAAAGGUUCGUUAUAAAUAAAUGAGUGACUUACAACAAUUUUUCAUCAUAUUUGUACUAUUUAUACAUACUUUUUUUUACACUACGAAAUUUUUUUUAGCUUUUGUGAUUCUGUGACACUUACAUCUCUUACAAGUAAUAAUAUUAACUUCAUUUAUUUUUUAGAUCAUAUGAUAGGUACAUGAUUUUUAUUAAAAUUUUAAUCUUAAAAUUAAUUUCAUCUCCUUCUUUCGUUUAAAAUCUUAUCUUUGACACAUCAUUAGUUGAAUCUUUAUUAAUCACUACUGUUGUUGAAUACGGUGAAGCUCGUGCUAAUUUGUUUUGGUAGGGUAAUGAUCUUGGUGUUGAUUAUUUUUUGUUUUUGAUGAUGUCCAAUUAUUUUAUUGUAUCUUGUUGACAUUCCAACAAGUGAGAGGGAAGAUGGAUAUUAGGUGUAAUUUUUGUAAAAUAGAGAAGAAUACGUCUAUUAUUUGUAAAAGAUAGAGGGUAUAAGUGUAAUAUUUUUAAAAUGUCAGAGAUUACAUGUAUAACAUUUUUAAGACCUCAUGGGAUACAUUUGUAAUAGCUUUAAGUUCUCAGGAGAUACAUGAGCGUGGAAGGAGAAGACGAGCCUAGCACAACCACAAAGGAAAAGACACACGAAGAAGACAAUGGAGAGAACGACCCUCUAUUUGUGCAUAGGAGAACACCCCAUGGAGAAGACGAUGGAGUGAAGAAUGUUUGUGUGGAGGAGAAGACACUAACGUGAAGAAGAUGACACAUGAAGGAGAACACAACGACAUAGAAGAGAACACGACACUUCAUGUGCGUUAGUGUUUAGGGCUUACAUAUGCAUGUUGAAAAAAAAAAACUAUUGGGACUCACAGUGUUUGGGUGCUAAUUUUUCUUGAAGGUUUAUAAACAUUGUACAUAAAAUUAAAAUAAUGAUUGGCUAUUUAUGAUAUUUUAUUUUUUUAUAA
rnacentral:lncRNA from 1 species